UACGAAUGCCCCAAGCGUUACCCGGAAUCACUGGGCGUAAAGGGUGCCUAGGCGGAUAUGUUAGUCCUGUGUUAAAUCCCGAGGCUCAACCUCGGACCCGCGCGGGAGACGGCAUAUCUAGAGGAUGCGAGAGGUAAACGGAACUCACGGUGUAGAGGUGAAAUUCGUUGAUAUCGUGGGGAACACCAAAGGCGAAGGCAGUUUACUGGCGCAUUCCUGACGCUGACGCACGAAAGCAUGGGUAGCGAACGGG
rnacentral:misc_RNA from 1 species